CCUACGGGAGGCAGCAGUAGGGAAUCUUCCGCAAUGGACGAAAGUCUGACGGAGCAACGCCGCGUGAGUGAUGAAGGCUUUCGGGUCGUAAAACUCUGUUGUUAGGAAAGAACAAGUGCUAGUUGAAUAAGCUGGCACCUUGACGGUACCUAACCAGAAAGCCACGGCUAACUACGUGCCAGCAGCCGCGGUAAU
rnacentral:rRNA from 1 species